rnacentral:lncRNA from 1 species
GUUUUCUUUUAAAUAUAUAGCAAACAAAAUGCCUGUGACAAAUACUUUUGGUCAGGUACUGUACAGAUUAUCGGUUUUAAUACAAAUGUAUGCUUCAAUUAAACCACAGAUUUCUCCUAUAAUGUUUUGUUUGAUAUGCUGACUUUUUCUUAACAUGAACAGGCUUGUUUUGAGAAUUUGUUUUAUUUUUUUCAGGUUUUAUGGAAAGUGUUUAGAAGAUUAUAAUGGUUUUCUUCCAAAUUUUACCUCUCCGGACUCAAUUUGUCCACCAACCAUUACAAGAAAUACUGAAUUUGCUGUCAUUUUUGUUUUGUUUGUGUAGUCUCAGUUUGUGCAGAUCACUUCUAUGUUGACAGACAAAAUAAUAC